GAAACUCAAUGCCAAACAGGGACAACUUUAGGUCUAGGAAGCAUAUAGGUUAAUAUAUCAAAUUUAUUUUACUGCACAUGUUAAAGAAGCAAAAAUAUCUCUAGUCCAUUAAAUAUUCCAAAUCAAAAGGAAGACGAAGUGAGUUUUCAUUUCAAAAAAUUUUUGAAUAUGAUAACCAGGAAUGGCCAACUUUAUCAUCAUUGACAUUUGCACCUCUCUUGUUCUACACAAUAUGAACUUGGUUUGCUUUAGUUUUUACUAUCGCCCUGAUCUUUAGAAACCUUUACUCAUGCUUCUAUGUGCAUGAGAAAAGAAGGCCAAACUGUAUCUACCAAUGCAAAGACUCCUGAAAAGACACAAUAAGCCGCUUAUAGGAUGUG
rnacentral:misc_RNA from 1 species